UGGGGGAUAUUGCACAAUGGGCGAAAGCCUGAUGCAGCGACGCCGCGUGGGGGAUGAAGGCCUUCGGGUUGUAAACUUCUUUUGCUCUGAACAAGGCAUGCCUUUGGGGUGUGUUGAGUGUAGGGGUUGAUUAGCGCCGGCUAACUACGUGCCAGCAGCCGCGGUAAUACGUAGGGCGCGAGCGUUGUCCGGAAUUAUUGGGCGUAAAGGGCUUGUAGGUGGCUGGUUGCGUCUGUCGUGAAAGCUCAUGGCUUAACUGUGGGUUUGCGGUGGAUACGGGCUGGCUUGAGUGCAGUAGGGGAGGCUGGAAUUCCUGGUGUAGCGGUGGAAUGCGCAGAUAUCAGGAGGAAUACCGGUGGCGAAGGCGGGUCUCUGGGCUGUUACUGACGCUGAGGAGCGAAAGCGUGGGGAGCGAACAGG
rnacentral:rRNA from 1 species